rnacentral:rRNA from 1 species
CAGAGAUUUCCGAAUGGGGAAACCCAGCAUGAGUUAUGUCAUGUUAUCGAUAUGUGAAUACAUAGCAUAUCAGAAGGCACACCCGGAGAACUGAAACAUCUUAGUACCCGGAGGAAGAGAAAGAAAAUUCGAUUCCCUUAGUAGCGGCGAGCGAAACGGGAAGAGCCCAAACCAACAAGCUUGCUUGUUGGGGUUGUAGGACACUCUAUACGGAGUUACAAAGGACGACAUUAGACGAAUCAUCUGGAAAGAUGAAUCAAAGAAGGUAAUAAUCCUGUAGUCGAAAAUGUUGUCUCUCUUGAGUGGAUCCUGAGUACGACGGAGCACGUGAAAUUCCGUCGGAAUCUGGGAGGACCAUCUCCUAAGGCUAAAUACUCUCUAGUGACCGAUAGUGAACCAGUACCGUGAGGGAAAGGUGAAAAGCACCCCGGAAGGGGAGUGAAAUAGAACCUGAAACCGUGUGCUUACAAGUAGUCAGAGCCCGUUAAUGGGUGAUGG